GCCCUCGCCGUCCGUCACCGAGAUGGACAGCAGCCCCGACGAAGGCUUGCACAUGGAGCUGGAGCAGGGGGAGGAGCUCGCUGCCAAAAAACCAAAGAGCUCCGUCAGAAGUGUGUACAGAUGCCUGUGGCCCAGCUGUGGCAAAGUCCUCACGUCUUCAGUCGGCAUAAAAAGACACAUCCGUGUGCUGCAUCUGGGCAGUGGGUCAGACCAGUCCCAGCGAGAGGAGGACUUCUACUACACCA